rnacentral:rRNA from 1 species
AUGGACGCUGCCUUGCUUGAGGUACUUGUUCAUCAUCACAACAUGGGUGACCAUUCACAAAAUGGAUGGAAAGCACAUGUGUACAGUGCAGCUAUCAAGAAUGUGAAGAGGAAGUGCAAUAAGGAUAUCGCGAAGAACAACAUAUUAGGCAGGCUUAGGACUUCCGACAAUCAAUUUGAAAUCAUUAACAAGAUCCUUUCUCAAAGCGGUUUUGGUUGGGAUUGGGUCAAUAAUAAGCUAUCUAUUGAUAGCGACGAUGUGUGGACUAAAUAUUUGGAGAAGGAGAAAGCAUUGGCUUCUUACAAGACCAAAGUAGUGAAGCACUGGGAAGCCAUCUCUACCAUAUAUUCAAAAGAUCAUGCGGACGGUGAAGAUGCCAAGACAGGUGUUGAGACUGCUGCAGAUCUAGAAUAAAGAAUUGAAGUCUCUCCAUGAACGGUACCAAAGAGAUAACGAAUAGGUGAUGCCAUUAUGUGCAUGAUUGGAGAAAUGAGGACUACUUUCAAGGAUGCUUUGAAGACAACUGAUCCACUUCCAUUGCCAAAGGUUACUACUCCUUCUGAAGUACUUGCUGCACUUGAGUUGAUACCAGAGUUGGCAGAAGUAGACAUGUUGCGCUCUUACGGAAAGUUGAUUCUUAAUGAGCGCUUGUUUAAAGCUCUAAUGGAGCUUCCCAUGCACAUGAGGAAGGCUUGGCUGCUAUUAUUGCCUUGA